AGAACGAACGCUGGCGGCAGGCCUAAUACAUGCAAGUCGAACGCACUCUUCGGAGUGAGUGGCAGACGGGUGAGUAACGCGUGGGAACCUUCCCAAUGGUACGGAAUAACUCCGGGAAACCGGUGCUAAUACCGUAUAAGCCCCUCGGGGGAAAGAUUUAUCGCCAUUGGAUGGGCCCGCGUCGGAUUAGCUAGUUGGUAAGGUAAUGGCUUACCAAGGCUACGAUCCGUAGCUGGUCUGAGAGGAUGAUCAGCCACACUGGGACUGAGACACGGCCCAGACUCCUACGGGAGCAGCAGUAGGGAAUCUUGGACAAUGGGCGAAAGCCUGAUCCAGCCAUGCCGCGUGAGUGAAGAAGGCCUUAGGGUUGUAAAGCUCGUUUUGGCGGGACGAGUAAGUGGACGGUACCCGGCAGGAAUAACGGCCCGCUUAACUUCGU
rnacentral:rRNA from 1 species